AUGGAGCAAGCCGAAAAUCCGCAAAAUAGAGUAGGCA
rnacentral:ncRNA from 1 species